GCCAGGCGUGGUGGUGCAUGCCUGUAAUCCCAGCUGCUCAGGAGGCUGAGGCAGGAGGAUCACAAGUUCAAAGCCAGCCUCAGCAACUUAGUUAGUCCUUAAGCAACUUAGGGAGAUCCUGUCUUAA
rnacentral:sRNA from 1 species